rnacentral:rRNA from 1 species
GACGAACGCUGGCGGCGUGCUUAACACAUGUAAGUCGAACGGAAAGGCCCUUCGGGGUACUCGAGUGGCGAACGGGUGAGUAACACGUGGGUGAUCUGCCCUGCACUUUGGGAUAAGCCUGGGAAACUGGGUCUAAUACCGAAUAUGACCAUGCACUUCCUGGUGUGUGGUGGAAAGCUUUUGCGGUGUGGGAUGGGCCCGCGGCCUAUCAGCUUGUUGGUGGGGUAAUGGCCUACCAAGGCGACGACGGGUAGCCGGCCUGAGAGGGUGACCGGCCACACUGGGACUGAGAUACGGCCCAGACUCCUACGGGAGGCAGCAGUGGGGAAUAUUGCACAAUGGGCGCAAGCCUGAUGCAGCGACGCCGCGUGAGGGAUGACGGCCUUCGGGUUGUAAACCUCUUUCAGCACAGACGAAGCGCAAGUGACGGUAUGUGCAGAAGAAGGACCGGCCAACUACGUGCCAGCAGCCGCGGUAAUACGUAGGGUCCGAGCGUUGUCCGGAAUUACUGGGCGUAAAGAGCUCGUAGGUGGUUUGUCGCGUUGUUCGUGAAAACUCACAGCUUAACUGUGGGCGUGCGGGCGAUACGGGCAGACUUGAGUACUGCAGGGGAGACUGGAAUUCCUGGUGUAGCGGUGGAAUGCGCAGAUAUCACGAGGAACACCGGUGGCGAAGCGGGUCUCUGGGCAGUAACUGACGCUGAGGAGCGAAAGCGUGGGGAGCGAACAGGAUUAGAUACCCUGGUAGUCCACGCCGUAAACGGUGGGUACUAGGUGUGGGUUUCCUUCCUUGGGAUCCGUGCCGUAGCUAACGCAUUAAGUACCCCGCCUGGGGAGUACGGCCGCAAGGCUAAAACUCAAAGAAAUUGACGGGGGCCCGCACAAGCGGCGGAGCAUGUGGAUUAAUUCGAUGCAACGCGAAGAACCUUACCUGGGUUUGACAUGCACAGGACCCUGGUAGAGAUAUCAGUUCCCUUGUGGCCUGUGUGCAGGUGGUGCAUGGCUGUCGUCAGCUCGUGUCGUGAGAUGUUGGGUUAAGUCCCGCAACGAGCGCAACCCUUGUCCUAUGUUGCCAGCGGGUUAUGCCGGGGACUCGUAGGAGACUGCCGGGGUCAACUCGGAGGAAGGUGGGGAUGACGUCAAGUCAUCAUGCCCCUUAUGUCCAGGGCUUCACACAUGCUACAAUGGCCGGUACAAAGGGCUGCGAUGCCGUGAGGUGGAGCGAAUCCUUGUAAAGCCGGUCUCAGUUCGGAUCGGGGUCUGCAACUCGACCCCGUGAAGUCGGAGUCGCUAGUAAUCGCAGAUCAGCAACGCUGCGGUGAAUACGUUCCCGGGCCUUGUACACACCGCCCGUCACGUCAUGAAAGUCGGUAACACCCGAAGCCGGUGGCCUAACCCCUUGUGGGAGGGAGCCGUCGAAGGUGGGAUCGGCGAUUGGGACG